GGUGGCUUAGUGGCUUAGUGGCUAUCAUGUUUGCCUUGCACCUCAAAGGUUGGGGGAUCAAUUCCCACCUCCACCC